UGUAGUUCACUGGGGGGGUUACAAGGUUCUUGCAAGAGAAGAACUUCUGAGGGUCGUAGGGGUCCACUCGGAAGGAGUUGGCCUUCUCGCAUUUGCAGGCCUGAGGCUCAUCUGGGUAGCAGACUCCCCCGCCAAACUCGGGCUUCUUUGAACAGUAGUGGUUCUCGAUGCAGUGGCGAGUGAAGGCUUGUCCCUU